rnacentral:lncRNA from 1 species
CUUCACUCUCCUCAGUGAGUUCCUUCUGCUCCCAUAGUUCUCCUCCUGUGGCACUCACUGCUCUCCUGUUCCCCCUUGGCUAAGGACUGCAGGCUCACAGUCUCCGCCACGCAUCCGCUGUGCAGUUUUUCCAGAGCAGGUCUAUGGCCAAGCUGCUCCUUUUGGGCUGAUUGUGUGCUUUUCUAUGCAGACAGGCAGGCAGGAUUUCUUGCAGCUGUCGUACGUGCUGGGUCUCAUGCUCCGUCCUGCACCUGUGCCUUAUCUCGUGUGCACUCUCCACCUCCCCCUGGUCAGUACAUCCUGGCCCUGCUGUGCUCUGCUCAGCAUCUGUCUGCUGAGCAACGACACAGCUGUCACACUGACCCUACCUUGUGCUAUCCCUGCAGAUGUUUGAUGAUUUCCUCUGCCACUGUCCCAGCCAUAACAGGUCGGGUGAUUUCCAGCAGCACACAGCUGGCACACCGAGCCACUCUGACCACGUACGGCAGCAGCCCGCCCCAUGGCUUCCUUGGGGCAGCCGUGGGGCUGUACCACCCUGAGGAGGCGAUGACUUUUCCCCACACACAGCUGGUUCUCUGGCCACACGGGUCCCUGACAGGACUCCCAUCACCAUCCCAGGACCCCCGUAGCCCACUGAUGAGGAACCCCGCAGCAAUCCACAUCUCAGGAUGGGGCUCCAGCUGUGCCCCAAUGCCUGCAUUAAAGAGAGGAGAAUGAAUGAGUGUAACGGGGCACCUUUCCUCCUGACAUUACCAACUGCCUGCGUGUUGGCUGUGCCACAUGAGCGGCAUUUUGUCCUCGAGCUGUGAGUGCAG